GCGGAAUUAGUUUAGUGGCAGAACUGGUGCUUCCCAAGCAUCAGGCGGGAGUUCGAUUCUCCCAUUCCGCACUA
rnacentral:tRNA from 1 species